rnacentral:rRNA from 1 species
AGUGAACGCUGGCGGUAGGCCUAACACAUGCAAGUCGAACGGCAGCACAGUAAGAGCUUGCUCUUACGGGUGGCGAGUGGCGGACGGGUGAGGAAUACAUCGGAAUCUACUUUUUCGGGGGGGAUAACGUAGGGAAACUUACGCUAAUACCGCAUACGACCUACGGGUGAAAGCAGGGGAUCUUCGGACCUUGCGCGAGUGAAUGAGCCGAUGUGGGAUUAGCUAGUUGGCGGGGUAAAGGCCCACCAAGGCGACGAUCCGUAGCUGGUCUGAGAGGAUGACCAGCCACACUGGAACUGAGACACGGUCCAGACUCCUACGGGAGGCAGCAGUGGGGAAUAUUGGACAAUGGGCGCAAGCCUGAUCCAGCCAUGCCGCGUGGGUGAAGAAGGCCUUCGGGUUGUAAAGCCCUUUUGUUGGGAAAGAAAAGCAGCAGGUUAAUACCCCGCUGUUCUGACGUUACCCAAAGAAUAAGCACCGGCUAACUUCGUG